GUCCUGUCCUCCUGCCCCGCCGGGUCACCGCGCGGGACACGGAGCCUGACGCGGCGUCGAGCGCGGUGGGGACGGCGGCUCGGAGGGGCUACCAGCCGCCCUGUUGAGAGUCCUGGGCCCUGCCGGACCUAAGAAGUGAUAUGAGCUUAUACUAUGGAGAAAAUCUUACAGAAAAGAAAAAGCCUUGGAAAUCUAUCCACAGCUGAUCACAUGGGAAGGCAGGUGCUCAGCCACCUCCGGGAAAGCCGGGCUCCAUGACACGUAACGGUGACUUGGGAAGACAGACGCCAUCGCUCCAAACGUCCCCCUUUCUUCGUGUUCCCCCCGCUUUAUAUGCUGAGCAUGACGUCACGUGGAGGGAACCCCCUCGGGUCAGUGGGGCAGGGUCAGCCGUCCGGCCGCGUCUCCUCCCAGCCUGCCCUGCGCCCCCAGCCCCCUCACGGGUGGGGUGGGCUGGGAAGCAGGUGCCUUGGCGCUGCGUGGGCACUGCUCAGGAGGAGCUAAAACAUCCUUGUGCUGUCAACACUAUCCAGCGUAAUCUCCAAAACACAGGCCUGUAAUAGCUAUAGCUACUAUGGAGAAAAUUAACUCUGCCCCAGCCAAAACCAGGACACGAUGAUAUCAUGAAUAUUGAAAGAAUGCACUUGUACUUUUUGACGCUAAGUUUCUUAACUCCCAUUUCCUUAUGGGGAAGUCAAACCGUUCUAAAAGCUCUGUGUUACCAGAUUGCCCAACUUGCUCAGAGUGCUACCUGUGUCAAAGAGGGUUUGAAAUUUGCUCUUUACAAGUGUUUUUUGUGGAAUGUUGUACUGCAGUACUAUCUUAAGAAAGAUAACAUGAUGGGGAAGGGAGAAGGCAAUGGAAGGAUUGGCUCCCAAGUUACGGAAGAGUCUGAUCUUGGUUACCUGGAACCAUAUGGCCACCAAACACAACAGGACUGCAGCAGGAAAAGGGAGGGAGAGCUCAUUUCUUCCCUGGAAUGGAAUGACAUGUUUCAAACUAACACUUGGCCAAGAAGCUUUGUUAUUGUUGGUGUGAUUUCAGAGUUGUAAGGAAAAAGCUCAUGUGCUGAUGGGGAGGACUUGCACUCUUGCUUCAUGGUGCUUAGAAUUCUAAAAUAAUCCCUUGAAAAAAGAGCACAAUUGGAAUCACAGUUGAAUGUGUUGAUUCUUCUCCCUGCAAAGUCUACAGAGAGCCUUACUAAAAUAGGAAAAAUCAUUUGUGUGGCCUUGAAACCUUAUAUAAUGCUUCUGUGUUGGGCCAAUAAAAAAUAUCCUAACCAUUAUUUUGUCUGAGCUCAAGUCUUGAAGGAAAUGUUGGGCUGAGUAGGAAAAAAGUUCUACGGUUACAGGUCUUAUAAUUCUCAGAGCUUUCCCCCAAAUACCCCCUGCUUCCAAGCCCUGUCUCCAAACACUCAAACUGUGGAAGUGAUAACCUGCAGACUUGGCAGUGUACAUGACAUUUUACUAGGGGAGCUUACACAAAUAUUAUCUCAAGUGAAAUGAGGGUUUAAUUCUAUUAUCUGUGGCUUUUCUUUCCCUGGGGUCAAAAGUACAGAAAGUGGUCAUGUUGUCUUUAUAGCCCAAGAAACAAAAGACCUGUUUUUAAACCAAAUAAUUAGUCAUCCAGAACUAAUGUCCCACAGCACUAACCACUAAGGGGGCUCUGGAGUGAUCUGAACCAGUUUGCCGUUCUCCAGACACGCCGUUUGAGAAGCGCUGCUCAGGGAGCGUUGCAGGGGAUGCUCCUGAGGCGGCCGACGCUGCGGUCGGGGAAACAAGGAGCGGGGCUCUGCGGGCACUGGGAGGAAACCCUACCACAGCCAACAGACACGUGGUCUUAGCAGUUCUUGUGCAGAACAAGAGGAGUCCAGACUCAGGUAUCUGCCUUUCAAACUGUUCAUGAUGCUGAUCAGGGAAUUCUGAGGUCUGUGAAGACUGAAAAGUGCCAAAGAAGAUUUUUUAGCUGUGGAGCUAAAACCUUAGUAACUGCAGUGCCUGAAUCCCGUCUCCUUCAGUUCUGCUGAGAACGUGGGCUCCAGGGAGCUCGCGGUCUAGACAAAAGAUGAUGCUGAAGCUCUGUAUUCGCCAUGCAGUCUGUUUGGCCCUCGCUUUUCUGUUACUUCUGUCUCGGUAGUGAGUACUCUGAGGAAGAGUGGCACAGGGCCUCUCUCACCAGGAUUUUGGCAGAGGAUGAGGUCAGAGGUCGUGCAGAAGAGCUUUUGGAAGCGGCGUGACCUGAAGGAGUGAACUGGAAGGCUCCCGUGUCCGUGGCGCACGGGUCCCGCAGUUCUGCCGUGGCUGUCAGGUGGCACCGCGGGACAGGGCUCUGCAAGCCCUGCUCCUGGGCGCAGCGGAACCCGCACAGGGUCAGGGCGGUCACGGAGCUGGCUCCGGGACCCACGUCUGCCGCGGUUAACCCACAGCAUUUACCUGGCAGCCACUGAGACUUUCAGCUCUCUCGUAUUGUUUGUCAGGUAGAAACUGCAGUUGUCUCCCGGGAUUCAAGAGGUACUCUCACUUUCUGCUACUCCCAAAGUAAUCUCAGACGUUUCUUUCAGAUUGUUUUUUCCUCAACACUGCCUUGGAAGCUCUGAAUGAAUGCAAAAAGUGGUUGGUUUAGUGAAGAAGAAAUGAAAAAUGUGAUUUGUUUACAGCACAUACUAGAAUAACAAGAUCCAAUGAUACUGCUAUGGCAGUUACAAGUGAAGUAGUCCUUCACCCUAAAAGAUAGUGUGCAGACUGUUUGUUCAGAUGGCACGCUGUCCUUUUGGUCUAAAGCUAUUACUUAAAUUUUCCACAUAACAACUUCCCAAAGAUGCCUUUGAAAAUUUCUAAAGACAACAUGUACUUAAUACUUUAAUAUAAGCAGGUUUGAUUCAAUACAGAUUGUUCAGAAGCACCAAAUAUCUAUGGAUGUAUCUUAGGUUGUAUCUAAAUCUGUACUUCCGUGCAUAGUUUUGUGUCUGAAAGCAAUCCCAAGCCACAUGGUCUGUGAAACAGCACAGUGAGCUUAGUAGAAAUAUGAACCAUGUGAACUGUGAUGCCACUAAACCACAGAUCUUCCUUUUGUCUGUUUUGAUAGCCCUUGAUCCUCCAAGGACGUGGAAGUAUUUUUCAGUCCAGCAACUGAAAAAUAAGGCCACUUUGGAUUCUGGAAAGAAAAACAUUCUGUUUAAAUCCAUCCCUCUAUACUUUUGUUUUCAGACACUGUCAGUCAGUCUAGCCUUUGAAAUUAGCACAAAUACCCAGGAGAAGUAUAAUCCUGCUCAAGGCUCUGAAUCAAAUACAUUGCAGCCGAUAAAUAGUUGCCCUUUGACUUCCAAAUGAUGCUUAAACUCUGAAACAGGUACAGUAACCUUUGAUAAUCUGCUCAUCAGUUUUCUAGGUUAAAUAAAUGGAUAUAUUAGUUUCCUCUAGAUUUCAUUGUUCUGUAAUAGCGAGGGGAAUGUAAGAUCAGCACCACGAAAAAAAACUGUCUGCUGUGCUUUGUGGAGUCUAUUAAUGAGCCUCUGAAAAAAGGAUCUUUGUCGGCCCCGAGGUGGCUCCGUGGUGCCCAGUAAGACAGUCGGCAUUUCUGGGGCGAGGAAACGGCUGUGGGGAGGCGCGCCCUGGCUCCAUCAGAGGCACCCGGUGCGGAGGUGGUGGUGGUUAGACUGGGUAGCCGUGCUUAGGAUGGAGCUGGGGGAGGCACUGCGGCCGGCACCGCCGCCUGCCUGAGCUGCUUCUGCGCGGUUUGCCCGGUCCUUGUCUGUAUCCCCGGAUCCUUGGCUUUCACAGUUACUUGCUGGAGACUGAUUUACUUGGAAGAAAGCACAUAAAAAGGACAUGAUCACUUCAGAUGUUUAAAAAGCAAUAGAAACAAGAUCAGGUAAACUUCUACAUAAAAUUGGGCAUGCUCAGUAAAAACUGCUUGGGAAAUUGUGUAUUUAGAUGAAAAUACUUCUAAAAUUCAUAUUCAGCUCAGAUUUAAAUGAGUGGGUGACAGAACCCGUUGUACAGUCCAUAGAACUCACAUAGCUCAUGAUUUUAAUGCUUGUAAGAGUCUUCAUUUUUUACAAAGCAAAUCAAGGAACCAAAGUGAAGCUCAUAUAGUACAAAGUGUUCUCGAUGUACCCUAAGGACAAAGCAGCCCCAAACUCUGCGAGCCUGUGUGCCCAUGAAAUGGUGUCCUACUGAAUUAUCUUUCGGUAGGACUCUGUUACACGUUGUUUUGAAUACAAGGGACAAUAGUCAGCUUGUCUUCCUUGUCACAUAAGUCAUGAGAACAAUUGGAGCAUGUACAAUUACCUGCCUCAAAUCCAUACUUGUGUAGGACAGACAGUCAGUGGGGAAACUGUGUAAAAUUCAUUGUUUAAUGCAAUUUACAGAUCAUUUGGAGAGAUAAUUUAUGGAAUUAUAAAGGUCUGACAUUCGCUGACCACUGAAUUACCCUUUAAAUUAUUCAGUGCUUUGGAGAUUAUUUGCUGACCCGCCGUGACCUCGCUGGAGCUGCCGAUAGCCGCAGCGAGGAGCGCUGCCGGCCGCGCUCUGUCGCUAGGAAAAACAAUUCAUUAAGUCCAAACUGCUUUUGCAAUAUGAAGCUAUAAAAAAGCAUUAAAGUGAAGGUCAUAUCAGGUCAAGAGUCCCCAAAUCCUCUUCCAAAAAGAGAGCAAGCCGCCCACACCUCUACUUUAUUGAGGCCACAAGAAAUGUGAGGCAUUUUUGACAGGGUGGUGGGGGUACACGGUACUGCGGUCAGCAAGAGCCGUCAGUAAUCGUCGUCACCCGGCUACUGAGGUUUCGUGAGCAGGAAAGCAGAUCGGGUGUGCUUGGGGGCACUGACAGUGUACUCCAGAAGCCCUUGCUGGCUGCAAUUAUAGGUAGUAAUGGGUUUUUUUCUACUUUGGAUUAACAAGUAGGUCUCAGAAGCCAAAGAAGAAAGCAACAGGACUUCCCAGCUGUUUUUGUCAGUGUGUUACUCAGAGAUUAAAUAGUCUGUGUCAUAUUUAUAGAAAAAGAAAAUGUAAAGUUUUGUUAUGGAUUUCAGACUCUGUUAAAAUGAAAGCGCUUCCUUGGCACAUCAUGCUAAAUAAAUGAAGCUGAUGGGGAAAUUGCUUUUCAGAGAGUCACAGAAAUGGCUAGCAAAUGAACAGACAUUUAGAGAGAUUUGUGCAGGAGUUAUCAAUACUGAUAGAGUCUGUCCACACCUCGUGCACAAUAGGAAGGAGUUAAUUAGAGAGUAACAUCUAUGAAGAGAUGACAAGCUGAAGCGGGUCUAGGCAUAUGGGUGGCAAAAGGCUCUUGUGUAAGAAACCUUUUGGUACAAAUGAAGCAUCUCCCACGGCUGUACUAGAUACACUUAGAGACGUGGUUUAGAGAUGGACUUGGCAACACCAGGUUAACGGUUGGACUUGAUGAUCUUAAAGGUCUUUUCCAACCAGAAUGAUUCUGGUUGGAAAUGUGUUGGAAAUCUGUCCUGUGGCCUCGGAAAGCAGAAGGUUCGAUUGAAUACGGUGAGAACUGACACACUGCUUUCACUGAGCAACUUUUCCUUUAAUUUGUUUUCUCUUUGUUUUCACUGUGCACUUGUGUGUAACGUAAGGUACUCUGCUCAGUCUUGCCAACGUCCAGGAUUAGUAAUGGACAGUUCGAACUCAGUGGAACAGUUCGGUUUUGACUGUGCCGUCUGUAGUGUCGGUGUUGGUACAGUAACUAGCCAGAUACAGGGAGAAGGAGCCGAGGUUCUGACUGACCGUUAGGUGGUGCCCCUGCCUUUUACUAAAAAAAAAAUAGCCAGAAAACAGCCCGACACACAAAAGACUCCACUGUCCUAAUUUUAAUUAUGCUAAUAGGAGCAGCUCUAAGAAAGAAUCGGUAGGGAAAGGCUAAGUUCUAAUGUGGGAAUAAAUGACAUAUAUAUAUGUAUACAUGCUUUUGAUGAAAGAGCUGUGGGCUGUGGAAACGGUCGGCAGAGAAGAGCAGGUUCUUAGGUGAGCUGAGCUGUGGCGCGUUGUGCCAGCGCUGGGGACGCGCUGCCUGCCGAGUUCGCCACGCGUCCUCGCCAGGGCUCUUCUGCCGUGGACCUCGCGCCCGCCUCUCCACGGCAGUUCGUGCCGGCUGCAGAAAACCAACAUCCCGGAGGGAGUCUCUGACCCACAGACGCCGUUUACACACCGGAGCAUGCUGUCUUCUGCAGCAUUGCCUAAGCUCCUGUGUUGGUCUGUGUUAUUUUGGGUUUUGCCAAUUUAUAUGCCCUGUUUUAAAUCCUCUUAAAGUGACUUGCCUUGUAACCCGCUAAAAGAAAUGCUGUGGUUCUUAUUGACUGAUUUGCACUUUGUUGCUGUCAGCCCCCUUGCCCAGUGGUGACAAGACAUGGGUAUUAUUCAGUAGAGCAAGUCAAGCUCGUGAUGUGAUAUCCAUAGUUGCGAGCAACCCACACAGUUCAAUGUGAUGUUUUAUGCGUGUCAUCCCCAGGCAGCUGGCUUUGUUCUGAGGCUGAGCUCAUGGGAUGAGGUGAAUGAGCCAAAAUCCGAACCUUUACUAGUGACCAGCGGUGGAGUGAAACUCGAAGCUGCCGCCCACCAGAUCACUCCUUUACUCCGGGUCCCACAAAGGCACCCGAACAGCUGGCUCAGCUGAAAGAGUUUGGCUGGAACCACCUAAGGUUUUAAGAAAACAAAUGUUCCCUGAGUUAGUUAUUUUUGUUUCAGAUGCUUCUUAGAUAAACUCCACUAUAUAACUUAGAAAAAUUGCAGGUAGGGGUGGGGACACUGUUCAAGAUGCUUGGGCCUGGCUUGAUUUAGACCUUAUUUUACCUUUUUGAGAAAACGAUCACCCCCUUUUUCCUGUCCAUAGAUCCAGGACGUUCUGACCAUCUUGGCAAGAGCACAGGUCUGGGGAGGUGCCUGGUGCUCCCGGUUCCUGCAGUGCCAGCUGAAUCAGCAGCCUCGUUGCUGCACGUCAGCUUUGCCGCUGACACAAUAGAGAACAGUGAACUGAGCCAGCAGCCUCAGGUUUGACUAAUAACUACAGCUUCUCUGAUGGUGAGAAGCAUGCCAUAUCCUGUUAUUAGCAGAUCAAUGCGACUAAUUGGAAGACACAAACCAAAAGCUCUGAUCGCAGAGAUUUCAUUAGUUUUCGUGUAAAAUUUUAGCCCCAACAUUUUGAUGAUCUAAAUAUUAUCUCUUUGUUUUAAUCUCUUGAAACAUUCAAAAUUACUAUUAUUUUUAUAAUUUGCUUACCUGCAAGUACAGAAACCAGAACCUUGUGUUUGUCGUGUCCCAUUUUUUCUUACACUUGGGUCACUGUCCUGUCCUCGUGAUUGCUGUUACAAAACCUGCCAUCCCAGCCCUGCCAGUCUUACCUUGGUGUCAGCAGAAGCAGCCGCCGCCGUGUGCUCCCCGUCUCAGUGAAUUACCCACCAUUCUGGCGUCACCCGGAGGCUGUGCUCGGGUUUAACCUGUAAGCUGCUUAGCAAGAGAUUUUCGGCAGUUCUUCUGGCCUCACUGUCAGGGAACAUUAUUUUCCCUUCUGCAGGUCUGCUGAGCAUAAAGCUGCAGUAUUCAGUUGGAGGGAACAAAACAGCUGGCAUUUGCUUUUUGAAACAGAGAUGCAAUCACCUGCAAACCUGACGAAGGCAGCACUGGAGCAGUAGGGUGUUGCAGAGGGUGCCGGGCUGGAGGGGCAGCUCCCGUGCUGCCCCCUCAGGCAGCGGAGCUGGGGCUGUUGCAGCGGCUGGGGUCAGCCCGCUGCUCGCGUGGUGCUGCUGCCGCGGGGCGUCCUGCAGUCCAGGGACUGGAGAGGUGAUGUGAGCUUAGGCCGCGCUGUCAGGCGCGUGCACGGCAGGCUGAGCAGGGCGCGAGCUGCAGCGCCCAGUGGGGUCCUCGUGCUGGACAGUUUCCUGGGAAUCCUACCUCAUCUUUUGCCCCAGGAAGUUUCUGUGCUGAUGCUGUGAGUGAACGAGAACAGCAGGACGUCUUCAUUUCCCAUUUCUUGUGGGAGACAGGGACUAAGUUCUGCUCCUGUUAUAAGGGGAAUUGCUUUCUGCAAUGCCACCGAGUCAGCUGCCUGCAAGCAAAAGGGACAGGCAUGUGUUCCUCGUCCAGGUGUUGUUUGGUGUUGUUAUGACCCUGUGCACCCACAGUUGCUGGAAACAUGGCAGAGCCAUCUCUCAGUGAGAUCGCUCCACUGCCAGCCAGCUCUUCCGGGCUGUGCAGUCUGGCACGGGCAGACAAAGCCGACUGAGUCAGCUACAAAAACAAGGCGCCGCCCAUUAUUCUACAGGCUGGACUGGACUGCUGCUGGGGGAUCGCGAGCGCCAGACAAUAAAUGAAUCCUCUCCGGUUAAUCGUCACCCCUGCCAAUGGGACGGAGCUGGGGAGCCAGCAGGCAGAUCCUAGCAUGUCCAUUUUCUACCCACUUGCGCUCAGCAAGAGAUGGAGCCAGCUGUGCAAGCCAUGGCUGCCUCACUGGGAACCCAGCCUCGUUACCGGCCUCCCCACGUCUUGACCAGCUGGGCCUCAGAGGAAGUCACCACACGGGAUCGUCAUCUCCAUAAAGUGAACUGACACAAGAGCGUCCCAGCAUCUCGCUACCUUGCCCGCAGGUCAGUGUAUGUGGUGGCUAGAUUUCAUUUAAUAUGCAUGUCAGGCUCAGAAGCUGCGUCCACCAUCCACUGAGCCCCGAGGGGACGAUGCCCAGUGCUGUGGCUUAAAAAACAUGUGCUUUUCCGGAUCAUACCCGAGGGCCCGGAGAAGGGUCAGAACUGCAGCGGUCUCCUUGCUCCUGCUGCUGAAUAACUGUUUUCAUGCCUUCAGUGCAGGGUAGCGGGGGCUGAUAAGCAUCUUUAAAGAGAUCAUUUAAGUUGUAUUUACCUAUGCACACAAAUAAAACUUGAGACAAGGCAGGCAACAGCACGUUCUCUGGUAUCUAAUGUUAAAGAUAGGAAUGGUUCUUAGUCCAUUUACUAUUUUCAGAUAAUGUAUUUCCUGAUUUUGCAGGUGUCAUUGGAUUAUUGAUAGAUAUUGUGUUCUAUCUGCAUAUCAGUGCUUGUACUCCCUCCGCAAAAGAUGCUCACCUAGAAGCCUGUGGAAAUUGAAUACAUAUUCAGGACUCAAAACAAUUCUUGCCUGAUGUAUUCAAACACAGCAGCAGAAUUUCAUCACCUACCUCACCACUGAAUUCUUUUCAGAUCUUAUCUUUUCCAGUCAUAAGCUAAAAAAGAUGCAUGAUACAAUAUCCUACCAGUGCUGCAGGGGAUGUGACUCCAUAGGUAAUUUGUGAGAUAGAUGUUGGGAGUGUCCCUAACCAGAAUUGUUCGAGGAUAAGAUUACUGAGCACGGUGCUGAGGCGGUGGAUCACCCACUGGCCUGGUCGAGGGUUUCCAGAGGGCUGCUAGGACCUGCGUGCCAGACAGAAUGCUACUGAAUAUCAGUUGAAAUUGUGUUUUUAAUACGAUUCCUUGAAACUCAACUAAUCCUUCCCCAAACAUUUCUUUCAGCUUUUGGAUGGUGAUUACAUUAAAAAUCCUGUAGACUUUGAUCAUAACAGGCAACAUUGUUAUAGCAACCGAUGUAUGAAACACUAAUAAUGGGGCUGACUGGACAGACUGACAGGUUCAGCGGCAUCCCUGGCGCACAGAGGGCGACCAGCGCCCGGGAGUCGCGUUGCUCGCCGGCUCUGCUGCGCGGCCGCUCGGCGCAGCCGGAGGGGAACGCGCCACGGGCGGGUCCUGCUCCCGCGGGGCUGUUUUGUGCGUCUGCUCUGAGCGUUCUGAUAGUGGCAAGAGAGGAGGAAAGGUUUGGAGACGGAGUUCGUGGCUGUAAUCUCAGUUUUCAUUGAAGCACUGAACAUGCAGUUAUUUUAAGAACCAACCUCUUCUUAGUGUGCGGUCUCUCAUUGUCCGAAUAAUGUUAGUUCUCCCCCGGCCUUGCACUGAAUUCACUAAUAACUAGGACUGAAAACCAUUCAAAGCUUCACCAGGAUUCAGGGAAGAAAGUGUUAGUCCAUGGGAGUUUUAGAAGACAGGAGAACAUUUCUGUAUGUGAGAAGAGGUUUGUGUUGGGUGCCGUGUCGAGCUGCGCUGUGGACGGGCCCGCGCUCCGGCGGGACCCGCCCGGCCCACCGCGGGGCCGUCAGAGGCGUUCUGCGUAACUGCAGGGCAUGGUUUUCCUUUUGCUGCCCACGUGUUUGUACAAGAAAGACCUACAUGUCUGACUGAGAAGAAAAGAAUAUUUGUACUUCGCACAUUGGAGAAAAUUGUUCAAGAACAAUUGUCCUUGUGAAAAUCUCGCUGAGGUGCUGCCGGGCGCAGCGGCUGUGCCGCUAUCUGCCGUGUCAGCGCCGGUCUGUGAGCAGCAGCCUCUUGCCGUGCAGCAUGUGGCAUGGGCAUCUGACACAAGAGCAGGCGGUUUUCUUGCAGAGGGACACAGCAGGUUCUGUCGCUGGUGCUGUGGCCUUUCCUCACCACGGGCACUUUCUCUGGGUGCUCUGUAGCUGUGGAGAUGCUGGUUUCAUCAUGUCCUACAGAUGGAGCACAUGGGGCACUUUUUUCCAGUAUGUCUUACCUGGAUCACUGUUUCACACGGUAUGAACAUGUGUGUGCACUGUGCGUCUAUGUUAUCUCAUCUUUUCAUCGGUCGCAGUGUGUGUCCUGGAUUCAUAAUCACCUGAUUCCUGCGUUGUCGAAGGCAGCUCCUGGCAGCUCACAGCGCUCAGAAGGGACGUGCUGGUGAACCUGCACACCCGGUGAUGCUCGUCACUUCGCGUAACCCUCUGCUUUCCUUCAGGUUUCAGUUUUAAUGCUUUAGCAGCCAUAACAAGUCUGAAAAGCAAAUGAUGUGAAGCCUCAAGUAUAGAGGGCAAGAUUGUUUGAUUCUCCUGCAAAACUGGAAAAGGAACACCACAAACACCUUUUGAUUUUCACAUAGAUAAGAUGUUGUUCAUGUCACAGCCACGCUAGUCUCAGAGAGAUGAAACAUGCUGUUUUCUUUUUAAAUUGGUGCUUCCAUUCCCCGCCCCCCAGCCACCCAUACAGUCCUUACAUAUAAGCUUCUUUUCAACAAAAGAGUAUCUUUAAUUCAUUAAACAUUUCCCUGCCCUUUCUAUCUGAUUGGAAUAACUGCCUCUGCUCUUUGGCAGCCUUUCUGAAAAUAAAACUAUUCCCCGAAUCGUCGUGCCUGUAAGCGCCUUCUCCGAUGGGCAGACACGACUCCUCCGACAGCUGCUGCAGGACCCAGCUCCUCGCGGAGUCUUUGGGAGAAUGUGCUGAAGAUAUUUUCUCUAAUUCUUUCUCUACCCCAUACACACCGGCCCUCUGAACGCUUCCACGUUGUUCUCAGGCCGUCGUGUGGUGUGUCAGGAGGGCCGUUCGUGGGUUUAGGUGCAGGUGGUUUAGGUGCUCUGCGGUUUGCUCUGCUCCUCUCCUGGCUCUGGUCCGGGAGGACACGGGGGGUCCUGGCCACGCUCAGCCCCCCAAAUGUGGGGUCCCUGUCCGACCCUCACAUGGGACAGCCCCAGUGCCACCAGCACCAGCAUCGCCAGGGACCACAGUUAGUAAAAGAUCUAAUCACUCAUACAUGCAUUUGCUUCCAAACCAACCGUUGAAGGGUUUUUCCCAGCCUUUGGAAAGUUAGCUUUUCGUUCCGGCCUGUCAGGUUUUUCACCAGAAUAAAAAAGUCCGUUUUCCACUAGUGUUAUAUGGUAAAGUUUGGCAAAGGAAAUUAAUGAUGAUUGAUAAAAUAUUACUCCGUGGCCUUGAUUAAGCCUGUUCGUUUUUAUCUACUUAGUCUGCAGAGGUUUGUUUUUCUUCCUGUGGUGUAAUUGUUGCUUUUGGUACAGAAACACAAAUAUUCUAGACUUGCAGACAGCAGCUCCAGCUUUCAGGAACUCCCGUCUGGCAGCUAACGGGGCAUUGCUUCACGAGCAGCACGAGCAGGAGCAGAGCCGUCUCCCUGACCUGUGCCGCGGUUCCCUUUGGAGCGGGCGAGGAGAACAGGAUCGCGGAAUGUCAGGGGUUGGGAGGGACCUGGAAAGCUCAUCCGUCCAACCCCCGGAGCAGGAACACCCAGAUGAGGUUACACAGGAACAACGUGAGGAAAAGCAGAACCCGGUGAAGCGAGGGCUGGCGAUGGGGAUGUAACAGCUGUGAACCGUUUGGUCCCGCCUGUCUGGAGGUGGCUCUUCAGGGUCCCCUUCAAACAUCUGGAUGCUGCUGCAUGUUUAGAGCAGAGUAGGAAAGAAAAAAGUACAGUAUUCUUUAAUGGGAGCUGAAAAUUGCUGAAAGCAGUUAAUAGGUUUGGUGGGCAAGUUUGCAUAAUAGUUUGAACAUGUGAAUUAAGGUCCAGAAAUGCUCUGUGAUGCCCUCAGGGGCAUGUCUUUGCAGUAGCUCUGUGUAGAGAUAAGCAAGGUACCAUGAAAAUGAAUUUGUGCUUUUUGUAGGUACGGUAAUUUGGGUAAUUAGGGCAGGCUCAGCACCACCCUGACGCAGAACAGAAACCUGCACAGAAAUUCAAAGGAACAAAGCUGUCAACUUCAGUGAGUUCCUCACCCAGAAGACCUCACUCGCAAUCACCCAUGGAAACCAGGUACUUGCACAGGCAGGCCGUCCCGAAAGCAUCCAGAUCCACAGAAAAUACUUCAGUUCUGAAGGAGGUGAGAUGUUUAGAGCUUGCUGCCAGAACUCCCCAGCGGUGCUUGCGGGGCGCGCAGGCUGCCGGCAGCCCCACGGAACCGCCGGCAGCCCCACGGAACCGCCGGCAGCCCCACGGAACCGCCGGCAGCCCCACGGAACCGCCGGCAGCCCCACGGAACCGCUGGCACGGACACCGGGAGCCGUGGAGCCCUGGCACAGCUGCCUGGUCGCAGCGGAGGCCGAGAGAAGCCGGUUCACACCUCAUCUGCUCUGCCCGGCACCCAAGGCCGGCAGUGCUUGGCCGGGCUGGCAGCAGAACCGCACGAUGAAAGGCUGAGAUCUGCCCCGGUUACGACACUUCCCUCCCACCCAGCCCAGCACCAGCGAUGCCCCUGGGGCUGCCUGAAUCAUCGCUGCUGCACCAGCAUCUGGCGCUUUGCAAAGCGUUCAGUGUUUAAUGCCUGUCUCUGCUCCAGUUCCCACUUCGCUGAAAUGACGAAACCCUGCACAACACCAGCCUGACACGGCUCCUUUCUCCUGGAGAGGAGUCGUUUGCUGUAUUGACAAAAUUGCCAGGUAUGUGGAAGGGGAAGGGCUGGGGCUGUGCUCACAUGCUCUGAAAGCAGUUGAGAAACCUGAAAACACAGGACAAUCUGAUGUAAACAAACAAGUUCUGCAUAUUCUCCUUUCCCAAAUAUUCAGAAGUCUUAAAAGAAUUGGGCGUGUAAUUGAAAGUAGCCGAAGGCAGCUUUAUCCUGUGCUACCAGCACUUACGCAGCCGAUCACCCAAAGUUUCACUUGGCAGGUUGACAGGGUUAUGCAUUCUCACAUGGGUGAACAGUUCUCUAACAAAGCAUCGCAGCUCCAACAACACAGAAGCCACAUCAUCUUGUUCCACUGAUUCUCAUUUCAGCAGCCUGGAACAGAAAUUUUCAUUCUUUGCCCCAGUCUUCCUGUCAAGCCCCUUGCCUGAUAUAACCGCUUCCCAGCCCCAGAAGCUGUUUUCUUUUACCUCUUGGAUCUCGCUUACAUUGUCUUUGAGAGGCAACAGGAACGAUCUUCCCUGUGCAAGGUCCCUUGUGCUCCUUCCUUGGUUCUUGGUGGGCGCACUGAGGACGCCGUUCUCGAUGUCACAGGGCGGGAUCCCGAGCCCGCAGCACUGUGGGUUUGGAAGGGCCCUUGUCAGAAACGUGCCCCUGGCCGGGCCGCGUGGUUCCGAACGAGGAGCGCUCCCGCGGGCCGCCCUGCGUGCCGAGGCCUGCGCCCGCGCUCCCGCGGGCCAGAGCCGAAAAUCAGUCCGCGAAAGGAACGCCCAGCAGGCAGCACCUCGCUGAACAAACCGGUGGAGAGGGGGUAGGAUGAGCCUCCUGGAAUUCUGCGUUUGAGGGAGCACAGAAAGUUGGAAAUUCAAUAGCUCUCUUAAACCCAGUGUAUUUCCCACUUCUGGUUACUUUGUUCCAGGCUAAAAAAACGAUAUUUUUUUUCUGAAAUAUGACAAGAUAAACAGAAAACCCCAUAAUAUGGCAGAAACGACACAGUACUGAAAUCCGAAACUUUAUUCCAGCACUAUCACUAUUUUAAUCCAUGUAUCUUCUGUUUCCUUGGUACUCUGCAUAGCUUAGAAAUACAUGAAGUGGGAGAGCGAGUGCAGGUCCCGAGAGCGCCGUCCCGGAGAACCACGCGGGGUGCCGGGCCGGGGCAGGAACAGUCCCUCUCCGCACUGAUGCGUAGGGAGCCGUCUUAAAAACAAGAAAGUAAAAAAGAAAGCAAAAAGGAAGAAAGGCUCUUCACACCGUUGAUUUCUGUUAUUGAGGGGAAAAAAAGUGCUUUUCUCAAGGGCUGCUCUUUCGAGAGACAGAAAAGUCCAUCUACAAUACAAGUCGUAUCGUUUAGCAGAAGCACAAGUGGGUGCGUUUCUGGCUCCGUCUGCGGCAAGCUUGGACGUCGAGCGGCGUUCCCGGCGUGGAGACAAAUUUAUUUAUUCAUUAACUUAAUAUAUUCAAUAAACCAACCGGCACACAGACUUAUUCUUUACAAGUAAUUAGAAUGUACUACAAGCAUACAAAUGUGCCUAAGAUUGAGAACUUGGGUUAUAAUCUAAUGAAAAUAUUGUCGCUGAAUUAAUUUCCUAUGUGGUGCCAGAGCCAUGGAAUAAAAAGUAUAUUGAGAGUCUUCAGAGACCUCCUGUCAGCAGCCUGGCGCUGCCUCUGCUUUAGGCUGCAGAAGAUUAGGUUUCAAAAGCCUGUUCUUUUCACGCGUGUUCUGAGUGUCUCACCGGAACCUUCCGUGCUUGGGAGACCUUGCGGAGGUUUCAGAGCUAAGUGAAGAAACCAGCAGUGUCUGCUACCAGUGUCAUUAAAUGCAGCGGUCUCACAGAAAUGCAGUUCAAACGCAGAUCUACUGAGAACUCGAGGAGUUGGUCUCCCUGUGCCGAGUUGCAAUCUCAGGAGCUGCAGAUGGCAGCAAGUGAAACUCACCCUGUGUCCGUCUGUCCUGGGGGCAGCCGCAGCCUCUGUCUGUCCCAGCUGCCGCAGCAGAGGGGUCGCUGCUGCUUCAGUCCUUCUAAAGAGGAUCACAUUUCACACUUGCUUGGCAUUUUCAUUUUCUAAGCAUUUUGAUAGCUAAUUAAUGAUGUAUCAGUGAGGAAAAGAAUAUUUUUUAAGAAUGGGACAUUAAUUGCCACCACUCAGCCCAUCCAGAAGCGCCUGGAGCGAGCGGGCACAGAGCCGGCUGUGCCUGCUGGCUCCUCAGGAGAACAGUUGCAAUCCCAAGCAGCGUUGGAGACUCGUUCUUUGACUUGCCGCGUGAAGCCCGACGAGCCCGUGAACCGCGGCGGGGGUGCUGGCGGCCCGGUUCUGCCUCAGCCAGCUGGUGCCAAGGGGCGAGAGAACCAGCAUCGGUCCUGCUUGGGCAGAUGGCUUCACAUCCAGGCUGCGCCUCUGGAGCGUCCCUGUUAGCAACCUGCCUUCAAACACACUUGUGUUUCAUUCUGUGUAGUGUACAGAUCUCAGGGCUUCUCCCUCUUUAUAGUAACCAAGAAAAGAGAUCAGGUUGUCCAGGUCUUUGUGAUUAAUUGUUAUUAGUUACAUAUAUUUUGCCUGCUUCAGUAAGCAGCAGGUUUCCAUUGCUGUGUCCUGCAUGAAAGGCUGUUGCCACUGGGAGCAUAAUUACCUGGUUCCUCCUCUCAGUCCUAAAGCCGAAGGUUUUCACAUAGCACCGAGGUGUAAAGAAAAAUCAAGGGAAUGCACCAGAUCACAGGGAGCACUUGUGUGCGGUGCUUAUCAGCAGCUCCUUAUCGGGUUAAUCUGACAACACAGGUGUGAGGGGAUGCCCCAGCUGGGACACAUCACCCGUAAUCUGAUCAGCAGGAACUCUUUGUGUUUCGCUGGACACCGGUUUACUCGUUACCAGCUGAACAAAGGAACAAAUUAAGCAAGGCAGAGGAGGCAGUGCGGGUGAGGAGGGAGCUGCAUGUCUUGGCUGUCUGUGGGUGUGCAGCCAAAACCAUUACACAACCCCCGCAGACACGCUCCCCGGGGGGAGGGCAUGGUAAUUACAGAAGGGCUGUUUAGAAGGAAAAGGCAUUUCAUAUCCCGUGUUCCUCAUUUUAAUAAUACAGACGUUGUGAAACACCUUCCUUGGAAAAGCAUCAAGUGCCGUGACCCGAGUCAUUGCUGAGCCAGCGCGGGGAAGGUCCCGUCCCCUGGCUGGGGGAGAACAGCUUCAGACCUCCAGCUGUGGCUCUUGGUGCCUCUAGUAAAUGCUCGUGCUAAAAGCAUUGCAUUUAUCUGCCUGUCUUCCAAAAUCUCUUUUCCUUUGGACAUCAUCUGACUAUGACAGAGUCUAAUUAAACCCUCGUUAUCCGUUGCCCCUGCGAAUGGAUCUCGUAUUCACAACCAGGUGAGCUGACCCGCUGGCACAAGCGCUGAGCAGAUUUCUGAGUGGGCAGACGUUGUCCCUGCGUGGUUCCUCGUGGACACACCAUCCCAAAGGCACACAAGAAUACCACUCCAUUCCCAUUUUUUGGUUAAAGAAAGAGAAUGUGAUGCCCUCUUAUUAACUAAAGGUCAAAAGAUUGUCAGUUAAUGUUGAUCCAGAGGGCGGAGAAAAGCAAGUUCUCUGUCAAGCGCCAGUAGAACGUGCAUUACUCUAACUCACGUUGUGUUUGACAUAACUCCCUGCUGGGCCUUAUUCUCCCUCUGCCGCCCGGCGGGCAGCUGGGCUCGCGCCUGGGCUCGCGUGGCGCCGGCGGGCUGCUCGGGUGGCUGCGGAUCCCGGUUCUCCGCAGGUACGGCCGCGGCGCGUCCGCCGCCCCCGAGCUCUCAGACAGGUUGAGAGCGCGAGUGGUGGCUGUCGCUUUGAUAAAACUACAGGCCCGGGUUGGUAGUGGGCUUUCCAAUAGAAUCGUUUUGUUUCCCCAUCAUCAGUAAACAGAGAGAUCGCGGACUCCACCACCUCUCUCAUUUCAGAACGUACCUGCUGGUUCUGGUGCUAAUCACCCUGUUCCGUCUGUGACGGAAAACAGCCCCACAGCAGCUGAGCUGCAACAUCUGGUGUUCAGGAAAGAACAGUUUUCUGAGAGUGCAAAAGUGUUUUUCAUUCUUGCUAAUUGGUUUUAUAUUUGAAUAGAAAUAAAUGAGAAGCAAGCAUGCUUUUUAUUUAAUAGCAUUUAAGGAACAAUCAUUUUAUAUGGUGGGACUAUACUCAUCAUGUUUCUUUAUGUUAUUGAAAAUAUUGAUAAAGCACUAGAUAUUCAUUAGUUACACCAUUUCCAAGUGCACAGAAGGAUGAACAUAUGUGUUUUCAUUAUAAGAGGUAAUAAUAAUUAAGAGUGACAGCACCUUAUCCUCGGGAUCUGCCUCCCAGCAGCAGUUUGGCUGAUAAAAAACCAGAAGUUAAGAUAAGGCAGCAAUUAUUAAGACAAAUCUUUUGAAGGGCUGUUUGAACUCCUGUGUCCAGCAGAUAAUCUGAUUUUCCAAGGUGCUGGGGGGGCAGAGCUGCUUGGGGAGCAGUACCCAGGUGCAGGCCCUCAGCCCUUUGCACCGGCAUUUUUACCUCUAGCCAUUUCCCUGGAUGCUGCUGCUUUUGUUUGCUACAGCUGUGGCAUAUAAAUCAGUCUUCAUUCUGUCUCACUGACACCAAAGAGAAACGCAGCACAAACAAUGCAGAACACCAAGCCCCAAAUGUAUUAAUCAUCUUCUUUUUUUCUGAUCCCUUUCACCUAUCUUUUUUUGGGAGAUUCAGAAAUAGCUAUAGGCAACUCAGUAAUUCUUCCUUCAUAAAUAUUAGAUGCACGCAGAGCAUGAAUAUUUGAGUAGCUAACUCUGACUUAGGUGAAACCAAUUGCUAAUGGCAAUUCAUUUUUCCUCGGUGACAUUCCACCAAUAACAAGCACGAGGGGGACGGGAUGAUGCAAUUUGGAGCUGGACAGAAAAAGGGAAAGAAGGUGUCAGCUGGGAAUAAAGACGCUUUAUUGAUCAGGCCCUCGGGUGGAACUCGGGGCCGUCUCCUCCCGUACGGUGGACAGGGCGCUGGCAGAGCUGUGCUCGCAGUUGUGUGUGCAGCCUUAGCAACUAAACAGUGAAACAAGUUUUAAAGACUAACCACUGAUUUAUAUUAUGUCAUUGAGCUCCUGCCUCUUGAUGUAUUGUGCCCUGUGUGAUGUGCAACCUGCAGCAGGAAGGACCAGGUGGGUCCCCGACAUCCCGCGUCCCCGCUGGUGACACCGCGCUGGCCAUGGGACCGGGCGCUGGCCAUGGGACCGGGCGCUGGCCAUGGGACUGGGCGCUGGCCGUGGGGCUGGGUGCUGGCCGUGGGACUGGGGGCUGGCCAUGGGGCUGGGCGCUGGCCGUGGGGCUGGGUGCUGGCCGUGGGACUGGGGGCUGGCCAUGGGGCUGGGCGCUGGCCGUGGGGCUGGGUGCUGGCCGUGGGACUGGGCGCUGGCCGUGGGGCUGGGUGCUGGCCGUGGGACUGGGCGCUGGCCGUGGGGCUGGGCGCUGGCCGUGGGACUGGGCUCUGGCCGUGGGGCUGGGUGCUGGCUGUGGGACCGGGCGCUGGCCAUGGGACCGGGCGCUGGCCAUGGGACUGGGCUCUGGCCGUGGGGCUGGGCGCUGGCCGUGGGGCUGGGUGCUGGCCGUGGGGCUGGGCUCUGGCCAUGGGACCGGGCGCUGGCCAUGGGACCGGGCGCUGGCUGUGGGGCUGGGCGCUGGCCAUGGGACCGGGCGCUGGCUGUGGGACUGGGCGCUGGCCGUGGGGCUGGGCGCUGGCCGUGGGGCUGGGUGCUGGCCAUGGGGCCGGGCGCUGGCCGUGGGGCUGGGUGCUGGCCGUGGGACUGGGGGCUGGCCAUGGGGCUGGGCGCUGGCCGUGGGGCUGGGUGCUGGCGGUGGGACCGGGCGCUGGCGGUGGGGCUGGGCGCUGGCGGUGGGGCUGGGUGCUGGCCGUGGGGCUGGGCGCUGGCCGUGGGACUGGGCGCUGGCCGUGGGGCUGGGUGCUGGCCGUGGGGCUGGGCGCUGGCCGUGGGGCUGGGUGCUGGCCGUGGGGCUGGGCGCUGGCCGUGGGACUGGGCGCUGGCGGUGGGACUGGGCGCUGGCCGUGGGGCUGGGCGCUGGCCGUGGGACUGGGCGCUGGCCGUGGGGCUGGGUGCUGGCGGUGGGGCUGGGUGCUGGCGGUGGGACUGGGCGCUGGCCGUGGGACUGGGCGCUGGCCAUGGGGCUGGGCGCUGGCCGUGGGGCUGGGUGCUGGCCGUGGGGCUGGGCGCUGGCCGUGGGGCUGGGUGCUGGCCAUGGGGCUGGGUGCUGGCCGUGGGGCUGGGCGCUGGCCGUGGGGCUGGGUGCUGGCCGUGGGGCUGGGCGCUGGCCAUGGGGCCGGGCAUUGGCCGUGGGCCCAGGCGGCUCCAUGGCCCGGCCCAGCUCCCCCGCGGUCCCUUUCACUGACUCUCGCAGCGCUGUGGCCUUAGCGCCGGUUGGACUGAGCAGCGUUGGGGGAAGUGCUGUCACUUUGGUCCCUGGUGGACAGUUUGUCAGGGCAGAUGAGCUCACCCUGCUGCACCGGGGCUGCGAACAUGUGCAGAGAUGGUGUGACCAGCAGUGGGGGUGGAAGCGGGGCUGCCCCAUUUGCUGCUGUCCGGUUUGCUCUAAAACUCUAUGUUUUGAUUUUUAAUAAAAAAAAAGAAAUUGUGACUUUAUGCCUGAGGCACAGAAAAGAAAUGUGUUGUCUCUGGACAUGGACAAUGGCACUGAGCAGUCAGAUGUGACCAGAUCAAACCUCAACGGAAGUUCAAGUUCAUGUUUACAUGGCCCAAGAGACACAAGUGCGUAUCUAUCAUUUUAUAUUGGUCUCGAAUUUGCCAUUACUAGAAGAGUGCUUUAUAAUGCAUCAGUGAUGCUUAUCCCAUUAGUCUAUGUUAGCCUUGGUCAGGCAGUGACGCUGUCUUGGUCCUUGCACAGGAGCCGCUGGCGGGAGCGAGGACUCGGAGCCCAUACGCACCGGUACCGGCGCCCUGUUCACCACGAGCCCGCUCAAGCUCCUCCGCGGGCUGCGUUGGCGCCGGCGCCGCGCGGGGGAUCCCGCAGCUCCGCACCGCGUGCUGCCGCUCCAGGGCGCCCGCUCCGCCGGCUCUUCAGCUCAAAUGGCAUUGGUCAAGAUAACAAAAUAAUAACCACAUGGCCACUUCUCGGUUAAAAACCUUGGUGCAGCUUCUCUGGCUGCCCAGGCCUGGAGCUGGGGCACUUUCCACACCUGCGUUUGCUCUGCUUUGCUGCCCUUGAAAGAAUCUCUCUUUCAGAAAAUGUCUGGUGAAAACCUAGUGGGUUUUGGUCAGAAAUUUUCCAUUUGAGACGUUUUAUUUCUGUUAUUCAAAAAAUCAAAGCAUAUGCUUUCUGUAGGUGAAAACAAGCUUUUAGCUGGAAAUCAUAAUGGCAAGCUUUCAAGGGCGCCUGUGACCAGUGUCCAGCUUCCCUGACAACGAAACCGGACCGACAGGACUGACCGGGUCUGCGUCCCCGGCUGUUGCCGCGGUGGUUGCACCGGCACCGAGAGGACGUUGGCGGCUGCUCGGCCCCGUUUCGCUGCCCGGAGACCGGCGGGGCCGUCGCGGCACACAGAGAACGCGCUCGCCGUCUGCAAGAGCAAAGAAAGAACUGCACGCCGAAGGGAAUUCCUGCUUCGUUUACAGGUUGCUUUUAUUUACAAAUAUACUGAAGUGUAAUCUUUC